rnacentral:rRNA from 1 species
GAUUCAUAAUAACUUCUCGAAUCGCAUGGCCUUGCGCCGGCGAUGGUUCAUUCAAAUUUCUGCCCUAUCAACUUUCGAUGGCAGGGUCUUGGCCUGCCACGGUUACAACGGGUAACGGAGGGUUAGGGCUCGACCCCGGAGAAGGAGCCUGAGAAACGGCUACUACAUCCAAGGAAGGCAGCAGGCGCGCAAAUUACCCAAUCCCGACUCGGGGAGGUAGUGACAAUAAAUACUGAUACAGGGCUCUUUUGGGUCUUGUAAUUGGAAUGAGUACAAUUUAAAUCCCUUAACGAGGAACAAUUGGAGGGCAAGUCUGGUGCCAGCAGCCGCGGUAAUUCCAGCUCCAAUAGCGUAUAUUAAAGUUGUUGCAGUUAAAAAGCUCGUAGUUGAACCUUGGGCCUGGCUGGCCGGUCCGCCUCACCGCGUGCACUGGUUCGGCCGGGCCUUUCCCUCUGGGGAACCCCAUGCUCUUCACUGAGUGUGGUGGGGAACCAGGACUUUUAC